CUUUGAUCCUGGCUCAGGAUAAACGCUGGCGGCGCACAUAAGACAUGCAAGUCGAACGGACUUAACUCAUUCUUUUAGAUUGAGAGCGGUUAGUGGCGGACUGUGAGUAACACGUAAGCAACCUGCCUAUCAGAGGGGAAUAACAGUGAGAAAUCAUUGCUAAUACCGCAUAUGCUCACAGUACCACAUGGUACAGUGAGGAAAGGAGCAAUCCGCUGAUAGAUGGGCUUGCGUCUGAUUAGCUAGUUGGUGGGGUAACGGCCUACCAAGGCGACGAUCAGUAGCCGGACUGAGAGGUUGAACGGCCACAUUGGGACUGAGAUACGGCCCAGACUCCUACGGGAGGCAGCAGUCGGGAAUAUUGCGCAAUGGAGGAAACUCUGACGCAGUGACGCCGCGUAUAGGAAGAAGGUUUUCGGAUUGUAAACUAUUGUCGUUAGGGAAGAUAAAAGACUGUACCUAAGGAGGAAGCCCCGGCUAACUAUGUGCCAGCAGCCGCGGUAAUACAUAGGGGGCAAGCGUUAUCCGGAAUUAUUGGGUGUAAAGGGUGCGUAGACGGAAGAACAAGUUGGUUGUGAAAUCCCUCGGCUCAACUGAGGAACUGCAACCAAAACUAUUCUCCUUGAGUGUCGGAGAGGAAAGUGGAAUUCCUAGUGUAGCGGUGAAAUGCGUAGAUAUUAGGAGGAACACCAGUGGCGAAGGCGACUUUCUGGACGAUAACUGACGUUGAGGCACGAAAGUGUGGGGAGCAAACAGGAUUAGAUACCCUGGUAGUCCACACUGUAAACGAUGGAUACUAGGUGUAGGGUGUAUUAAGCACUCUGUGCCGCCGCUAACGCAUUAAGUAUCCCACCUGGGGAGUACGACCGCAAGGUUGCAACUCAAAGGAAUUGACGGA
rnacentral:rRNA from 1 species